rnacentral:rRNA from 1 species
UACAGAGGGUGCAAGCGUUGUUCGGAAUUAUUGGGCGUAAAGGGAGUGUAGGCGGUUUGAUAAGUCUGCUGUGAAAUCUACGGGCUUAGCCUGUAACGUGCAGCGGAAACUGUCGGACUUGAGUGUCGGAGAGGAUAGGGGAAUACCCAGUGUAGAGGUGAAAUUCGUAGAGAUUGGGUGGAACACCAGUGGCGAAGGCGCCUGUCUGGCUGACAACUGACGCUGAGACUCGAAAGCAUGGGGAGCAAACAGG